GACGAACGCUGGCGGCGCGCUUAACACAUGCAAGUCGAACGGAAAGGCCUGCUUUCCCUUGUGGAUUGCGGGUACUCGAGUGGCGAACGGGUGAGUAACACGUGAGUGAUCUGCCCCCAACUUGGGUAUAAGCCUGGGAAACUGGGUCUAAUUCCCGAUAGGACUGCAGGGUGGUGCCUGUGGUGGAAAACGAUUUUCUAGUGGUUGGGGAUGAGCUCGCGGCCUAUCAGCUUGUUGGUGGGGUAAUGGCCUACCAAGGCGGCGACGGGUAGCCGGCCUGGGAGGGUGGACGGCCGCAUUGGGACUGAGAUCCGGCCCAGACUCCUACGGGAGGCAGCAGUGGGGAAUCUUGCGCGAUGGGCGGAAGCCUGAUGCAGCGACGCCGCGUGGGGGAUGACGGCCUUCGGGUUGUAAACUCCUUUCGACCGCGAGGAAGCCACCUGGUUGGAAGGGUGGUGACGGUAGUGGUAGAAGAAGCACCGGCUAACUACGUG
rnacentral:rRNA from 1 species